rnacentral:rRNA from 1 species
GAUGAACGCUAGCGGCAGGCUUAACACAUGCAAGUCGAGGGGCAGCACGGGUAGCAAUACCUGGUGGCGACCGGCGCAAGGGUGCGUAACGCGUGAGCAACAUGCCCUAUACAGGGGGAUAAUCCAGGGAAACUUGGUCUAAUAUCCCAUAGUAUUUAGAGGAGGCAUCUUCUAUAAAUUAAAGCUUCGGUGGUAUAGGAUUGGCUCGCGUGACAUUAGCUAGAUGGUGAGGUAACGGCUCACCAUGGCAAUGAUGUCUAGGGGUUCUGAGAGGAAGGCCCCCCACACUGGGACUGAGACACGGCCCAGACUCCUACGGGAGGCAGCAGUGGGGAAUUUUGGACAAUGGGGGCAACCCUGAUCCAGCCAUGCCGCGUGAGUGAAGAAGGCCUUCGGUUGUAAGACUCUUCGGUCCGGGACGGAAUACGUAUGGUUAAGUAACCCUGUGCGGAUGACGGUACCGGCGACUAAGAAGCACCGGCUAACUACGUGCC